rnacentral:lncRNA from 1 species
GGAACUAGCCGCACAUGUAAAGUGUGAACAUGAAGUGAAAAUCAAAGCCGACAGUAAGCAUAUUAUUUUAUUUGAGUCCCGGAUUGAUAAUGGUAGGUUUUUUUUUACCAUUCUUACUGCCAAGUACAUGAGAAGUUUCUUAGGCAGAGUUUAAAAAAUUUCAAGUUGCAAAUCAGUUAAACUUACAAGUAAAGUUAUAUGUAUUAUAUGUUAUAAUAGAAAUAAAGCAUACAGGAUAUCAAUCCAUGAUAUAAAAUCAGUACUUUCACAGCAAGAAACUAAAAAAGCUGAGGGACAGCCCUACAAUUGCCGUUCUUCAUCUCAAAGUUAUAUUGAGGCCUACAACACGAUGCAACAUAAAAGUUUAUGACGACCCUAGCACCGAUUUGAGCGAAAUGCUUUGCAAACUGAUCAUCCCUAACUUUAAAUUGAAGAAAACAAGCCACAGAGUAGUAUGAAUAAAGUAAAUCUGGCAAAGAUAUCAAACGUGUAUAAUUGUCAUAAUUAAGUCCAGCUUUCACACCGAUCGAAGCGUGCAAAAUCAAUAAAAACACGAAGACAACCACGGGGCACAUCGAGAUACAUGUCAGAUAACUUAGCAGAAAAUAACGUAUUUAAUAAUUCGGGUAGACUUAUUUGCAUUAUUUAUCUUUGGUGGGUGACAUAGAAUAAUGUUAUUUUAUUUCAUAUUACAUAUCACGGCCGUGAGGUGUAAUUUCUAUCUUGCUAAGUAGCAUAUUUUAGAGGACAUUGUACCAUGGAAUGUGAUAUAUCUUUGAUCUUCAAUACAAGGGGUUCCUUUAGAAUGACGAGAUAGAAAAUCUGUAACUCUUGCAUUUAUCUAAAAUAUACUUUUAUAUAUAUCAUUGUUAUAUUUAUGGUGUUUUUAUUUGCAAUGAUCAGCACGACAAAAUCUCUAAUGGAGCAUGAGCUGUUUAUUCUUUGCAUUGGGAGCACCGGAUCCGCUCACCUCCUUGUUGGAGGGGUUUCAGUUGAAAAUUUUCUGUGUAGUUAUCGUUAAACAUAAAAACGAAUGUUACGCCUUCUCGGCAAUCUAAUUAAAAUAUUGAUAUCUGUUACGUUAUACUACAAAUGAGCUCAUAUAAUGGGUCAUUAUAAAAAAAACAUGCAAAACUAUGUGAUUGGGUCUUUUUAAGUCACAGACAUGAAAAUAUAUCAAAAUAACACUUGCAUAUGUUAGAUAUGAAUGUUUAGUGAUACACAAUAUACAGUUUACAGUUGAAAUGUUAAAAAACAUCCUUAUGUUUUCUUAACCCUUGAAAUAGCCAGAUUUAACUGUUAUUUUUACUAUAAAUCCUUUCAGACUUGAAAUAGGAAUAUUAUAUUCAUAUCAUUGUUAUAUGAUUUAUCUCUUUAUUGCAUUUGAUACAUACAAACAUUUUUAAUGAUUUAGGAGAUGUACGUUGGUUUUAAUAAAAAAAUCACCAAAAAAAUGAACAUUUUUAAGUCAAUGUGUAACCUAAGACAAAUUAGAGGAUAAGAGUUAUUCUCGCACGAUUUGGGCAUUUACAAAAGUUUCCCCUUAGCAAGUUACUGUAACAUCAAACAAUUAGUGAAGAUUUAGUGAAAAAUCGUAAAAGUAAGUAAAGGUUAUAUCGUAAUUGGAAAUAGUGUCCAUGGUGUACCCUUUAUAAAAAUCAUUUUUUGAAAACAUUUCCUUAACUUGAAUAAUGAAAUAUAUUGAUUAUAGAAACGUGCAUCAGUAACAACAUAUAGAAUAGGAGAAUUGAGCACUUGUUUCGUAACUGAAUCUUAAAAUACACCUUAUAUCAUUGUGUUACUGUCAAUGGUGAGACCAUUUUAUAAAUAACACCAUUGACAGUUUAGUAACCCACUGAAUUAUAACAGUCAGCAUUGUUUUGUUUUCUUUCAUGUUAACAAGCAAACAUCAUAUUAUUUAUGAAAACAAUACUUAUUAAAAUGUUAAAAUAUCAUGAUUAAUAACACGUUUUCACAAACUGAUGUAUGCUGGUAACACCAAUGACACUAUUUAGUAACACUAUUGACAUUUUUAGUAACGGAUGUUAUGUUAUAUAAUUUGAGAUAUUUUAGCCUAAGAAUUAUUUUUUCAUCUUUCGUCCCGAUGAUUUGGUUUGUUCUCAGUACUUAUAAAGGUAAAUUUGAAUGUGAUGUCAAUGGUGAUUACUUUUGUGUCAUUGGAGUUUGAAGGUCAUUGGUGUUACUAUAUAAAAAUGCGAACAUUUUUUUUUUUUAUCUUAUUCAUAAAUGAAAGUGUUUAGGUCUGUAAAAGGAUUAGGUAUAUUAUAUCAUUUAAUCUUAUACAAUUCACAUAUAUCAGUUUGAGUGUAUUUUUUAGUAUUUCACGCCAUAAUUAGGACAGCCAACUUGUUGCGACAAUGUAUUCUAAAAUUAUGUUUAAAUAGAAUGCACAGCUAUAUGAAUAAUGUCAAUAAGUCGUAAUUUAAACAUAAACAACAAAUUGUAACACCAUUGACACGAGUCUAUCAAAGGAUGACCUAAAAUUGUUAAAAUUGAAGAAACUCUUCAUUUUUCCCAUUGCAUAUUUCUGAAUAUCGUUGCUACCAUACUAUAGAAUAGCGGGACACAUUUAAAUGUUUUGAACAAUGACAUCAUUUUUCAAAAUAUUACCUCAUCGAAAUUUGCACUUUUUUUUAUAAUGACCCAUAUAUGUAGUAUAAAUAGUAUAACGUAAUCAGAUAUCAAUAUUUUAAGCAUAUGAGCUCAUAUGUAGUAUAACGUAAUUAGAUAUCAAUAUUUUAAUAAGCUCAUAUGUAGUAUAACGUAAUCAGAUAUCAAUAUUUUAAUUAGAUUGGCCUUCUCGGGAGACUUGAUUGAAAUUGUAUUUCUCAACACUUUGAGAGACAUGUAUUGUCGAAAUGCGCAUCUGGUGCAGGAAAAUUUGCACCGUUAAUGUAAUUUCACUUAUAUUGAUGCGGGUCAAACCUUGAGAGCUUAUUCUUCACCAAAAAAAGUCUCGAUACCAUCAACUAUUGCAACAUUCUUUAUCAUAAAUCAGUUCACUCGAAAUAAUCUAGUCUUUACCUAUCAUUUCUUAAACCUAUACUUACCCAAUUGCAACGUAAAUUUUCAAUUACAAUUUUAAGUCUAAACAUCUGAUUGCACCUGCGGUAGUUUCUCAUUCAUAUAUAAUCCGGCUGACCAUGUUAUUACUGGUGACCUAAACACUUCUCUGUGAAAUGGGUUAUUCAAAGGCCCAAAAUAUAAUGAGCUUAAAUCCAUCAAUUGGAAUUAAACACGACUUCGAAAUAGUGAUGGAUUCACUCGAGGAUUAUGCCAGGCAAUGGGUCAAACGCGCGAAAGAAAACGUAUAUAGAUACUCUUACGGAAUGGAUUAAUGCUGUGAUGUCGUUAAUACAAAUCAAAAAUUAAAAUCGUAAUGGGUUUCAAAACCAAUGCUACAUCAAUAUUAAAAGACCGAAACGUUGCAAAACAUCUGUCCUUCUUCCAUGAAAAAUAUGUUGUCAUCACCACAGAUAAAGCCAUAAGCAACAUAGUUUUGUGUUAAUCACAUUAUAUAAACUGUUUUAUAAAUGAAUUAGGUAUUGUCAAUUCACUUGGAAACUCAACAUAUACUCCCACGCCACUUACCAGGAGGAAUCCAGUAUAAUCAUAGGUCUGUUCUAUGAUCCUUUUGAAAUUCAACUAACUUAAGGAUAAUAUAUAUAUUACGUUUGGAGGACGUGUUUUAGACAAACAAUCAGUAUUCCCAUGGGAACUUACUGUGCUCGUAUUCUUGUCGGCUUGUUUGUUUAUCAUAUCAGGCUGACCUCAAACAGGAACUUCUUUGUAAGAAACACAAGAAGUUAAAUACUAUCGUCUUGAUCUGCUUUUUAGAUUAACCACUGGACAUUAUACAUUAGUUCGUCAACAAACCAGGAAGGGGUUAUCGACCGUCUCUCACUUUAUAUUUCUUUUCAUAAAAAUAUAAAAGGGGAUUUUUUUUAUUUUGUCCAUAAUAAUGUUUAAUACUUUAUUUGAUUUGCUAUAUUUUCUUUAAGCACUCCAAAGAGACGGGUUUGGUAAUAACAGUUUAUUUCAUUGUCUUGUUGCUGAAGUGAAUAAAGGUAUUUUUUAAUUUAAAAUAUUCAAAAAUUCAAACUUCUAACAAUUGCGUUGAAAGUGCAUGCGGAAAGAAAACUAUUUCAAGUAAGGAUUAAAUAGCGUCACAUAGAAAUAAGAAGAUUUGGUAUAAUUGCCAAUGAGACAACCCUCCACAUGGACCAAAUGACAUAAACGUUAACAACUAUGUGUCACAUAUGUGUAACGACCUUAAACAAUGAACAAAGCCCACACUGCAUAGUCGCCCCAAAAAAAAAAAGCCCCGAAAUGAUUCCGUGUUAAUGUCUAGCUAUUUUUAAGGUCUUUAAACCUUCAACUUCUAAGGAAUGUUAGCGUUUGUAUUAGCAUUUUUAGUAACUAAAGGAAAAUGUUGCACAUGUCAAUUAAAACGAAAAUUGUUAUUUAUUAUAAAUGCAUGCAUACUAUGCAGUUUUUUCUUACUGUUGAAUGCCGUAUCUCUAUUGGUAAUUUCUGUGUCAUUUGGUCUCUUGUGGAGAGUCGUCUCAUUGGCAUUUAUACAACGUCCUCUUAUUCUUGUAUUCGUUAUACAUAUUAAUUAUAAUUUUAUGAUAACAACCAUGCCAUUCAUUAAUUGACUUGAAAUCAAUGUAGUUUUAAGCUGAUAAAACACUUUAUGUAGCUCUGUAAUAAUGGGCCAGAGAUUCAGGACUGACAUUAUUCUUUUUCAACAAAUACGACAUAAAAUAAUGUAACCUAAAGACCCAAUGUUAUAUAAGAUAAACAUACAAUGUCCUGUAUAUAAAUGGUGGAAUAUAAACACUUCAGCUGAUACUGACUAAGUAUUAAUGUCAUUGCAUCUGAGUUAUAUUUUGCCAAGUAAUUAUAGGAUAGAUAAAAAAAAACAUGAUGGUUCUUCCCAGGGGGGGGGGGGGGGGGGCAAUGAGACAGACAGAAACAAAUUAUAACCGGCCAGGGAAAAGCUAUAACAGAUAAUUGUAUAUACAAUAUGUGAAGCUAAAAUUCUUGUAGAAAUAUCUUCUAUGACAGUCUUCUGGAAGCCACAAAAUGUCUUACGUCUAAGUAAUGGAAUUUAGAGAUUAGAAUGCUUAAAGGCAUGUAGUGAUGUAAUUUUUCAUAUCUUUCAGACAUAGUUGGAUAUUUGUUAUAUUAUUACACUUAUUCCCCUUGGGUUGGUAAAACAGUGUUUAUGGAGGACUUCUAUGUGAAACCUGAACAAAGAAGUAAAGGAAUAGGUACUAACUUAUUAAAGACUGCUGUCAAGGUAAUACGCUUUGUCAACUAUAACAAUUUUAAAAUGUCUGCAGCAAGUGUUCUGAGCAUAAUAUUUACUUACAAAAGGUUGAAUUUAAAGAUAAGGCAUGAUUGGGUUUAAAAUGGGCCUUCAGUAAAGAGGUUUUGUCAUAAUGCAAAUUCAAAAUUAAAUGUUGAAUCAUUCUGUGUAUUUGGAAAGCAGUUUCAGCUCGUAAUAACAACCCACAUUAUCACUGGGCAAACAAUAAUUUCCCUAACCCUUGACAAUUCAAAAAAGAUGUCGUAAGGCACAGAUAUUUGAUUCUUAGUAUUAAAGAUUGUAAAUGAGUUUUUUGUAUUUAAGGUAUUUUUGGAAACUCACUGCAGUUGUCUGGAAUGGGCAGUGCCAUGCUGGAAUAAAGUGGCUGUCGAUUAUUACAAACAAAAAGGAGCUAUUAAUUUGACUGAAACUGAACAGCUUCAUAUUUAUAGACUUACAGAAGACGCCAUGGAGAAUUUAUUGACUAAAUAAACAAGAAAAUAGAAUUACUUCAAUGUAGACAACAGGUGUAUUCAAGAAGAUUUCCAAAUGUAAACUGCAGUGUUUAAAAAUCAUGCAGAAAGGAAUUUGUUCCCCAAAUAAAUAAAUGGUCUUUAUUUAUCAUCACGUGGUUUAUAUUUGAAAUUCAUACUAUAUUUACCUACCGAAUAAAUUGGACAUUAUAUUUGUAGGCAAUUGUACAUGAGGAAAACUUGAUAAUAAA